rnacentral:rRNA from 1 species
AGAAUCAACGCUGGCGGCGUGCCUAACACAUGCAAGUCGAACGCGACUGGGGACUUCGGUUCCCAGUUGAGUGGCGAACGGGUGAGUAACACGUGGGUGAUCUACCUUCGAGUGGGGGAUAACGUUCCGAAAGGAACGCUAAUACCGCAUGACGUUCUGGGUUUGAAGACCUGGAAACCAAAGCCGGGGACCGCAAGGCCUGGCGCUUGGAGAGGAGCCCGCGUCCGAUUAGCUAGUUGGCGGGGUAACGGCCCACCAAGGCGACGAUCGGUA